UACGUAGGGGGCAAGCGUUGUCCGGAAUUAUUGGGCGUAAAGAGCGUGUAGGCGGCCUGGUAGGUCAGCUGUGAAAACUCGAGGCUCAACCUCGAGACGCCGGUUGAAACCAUCAGGCUAGAGUCCGGAAGAGGAGAGUGGAAUUCCCGGUGUAGCGGUGAAAUGCGCAGAUAUCGGGAAGAACACCCGUGGCGAAGGCGGCUCUCUAGUACGGUACUGACGCUGAGACGCGAAAGCGUGGGGAGCGAACAGG
rnacentral:rRNA from 1 species